UACGUAGGCAGCGAGCGUUGUUCGGAGUUACUGGGCGUAAAGGGUGCGUAGGCGGUUUUCCAAGUUUGGUGUGAAAUCUCCCGGCUCAACUGGGAGGGUGCGCCGAAAACUGGAGGACUGGAGUACCGGAGAGGUAAGCGGAAUUCCUGGUGUAGCGGUGAAAUGCGUAGAGAUCAGGAGGAACACCGGUGGCGAAGGCGGAUCUCUGGGCCAUUACUGACGCUGAGGAGCGAAAGCGUGGGGAGCGAACAGG
rnacentral:rRNA from 1 species